UGGCAAUGAUGGGGGCAAUCCCUGAGUAGAUUUUUAUAGCACUCCCAAGCUUGACUGAGAGUUUCACCACACCCCUGUUGCAAAACUGACUAUUUGACUUCUUAAUGA
rfam:Capsicum annuum cultivar Zunla-1 chromosome 9, whole genome shotgun sequence